rnacentral:rRNA from 1 species
AGUGGUGGAUGCCUUGGCUAGUAGAGGCGAUGAAAGACGUGCCAGGCUGCGAUAAGUCUCGGGGAGCCGUCAAGGGGCUUUGAUCCGGGAAUUUCUGAAUGGGGCAACCCAACUAAUAGAGAUAUUAGUUACCGUAUAACGGAGCGAACGAGGGGAAUUGAAACAUCUUAGUACCCUCAGGAAAAGAAAUCAAAAGAGAUUACGCUAGUAGCGGCGAGCGAACGCGUAAGAGGGCAAACCACUAGUUUACUAGUGGGGUUGUAGGACUGCGAUAUAGACUAAACUUAGCUAAUAGAACAACCUGGAAAGGUUGGGCACAGAGGGUGAUACCCCCGUAUAUGAAAGCUUUGUUUUACUUAGCAGUAUCCUGAGUAGGGCGGAACACGUGAUAUUCUGUCUGAAGCUGGGUAGACCACUAUCCAACCCUAAAUACUACUACUAGACCGAUAGUGCACAAGUACCGUGAGGGAAAGGUGAAAAGAACUGAGGUGAUCAGAGUGAAAUAGAACCUGAAACCAUUUGCUUACAAUCAUUCAGAGCCCUAUGAUUUAUCAGGGUGAUGGACUGCCUUUUGCAUAAUGAGCCUGCGAGUUGUGAUGUCUGGCGAGGUUAAGGAAACCCGGAGCCGUAGCGAAAGCGAGUCUUAAUAGGGCGUUUAGUCAGACGUUGCAGACCCGAAACGAUGUGAUCUAUCCAUGAGCAGGUUGAAACCGGUGUAAGAGCCGGUGGAGGACCGAACCCGCUAGCGUUGAAAAGCUAUGGGAUGACUUGUGGAUAGGGGUGAAAGGCCAAUCAAACAUCGUGAUAGCUGGUUCUCUCCGAAAUAUAUUUAGGUAUAGCGUCAUGUAGUAACACUAGGGGGUAGAGCACUGAAUGGGCUAGGGCAUACACCAAUGUACCAAACCCUAUCAAACUCCGAAUACCUAGUGUGUAAUCAUGGCAGUCAGGCGGCGAGUGAUAAAAUCCGUCGUCGAGAGGGGAACAACCCAGACUAACAGCUAAGGUCCCUAAAUCUCAUUUAAGUGGAAAACGAUGUGGAGUUACUUAAACAACCAGGAGGUUGGCUUAGAAGCAGCCAUCCUUUAAAGAAAGCGUAAUAGCUCACUGGUCUAGUGAUUCUGCGCGGAAAAUAUAACGGGGCUAAAAUGAGUACCGAAGCUUUAGACUUAGUUUUACUAAGUGGUAGGAGAGCGUUGUAUUUGCGUUGAAGGUAUACCGGUAAGGAGUGCUGGAGCGAAUACAAGUGAGCAUGCAGGCAUGAGUAGCGAUAAUUGGGGUGAGAAUCCCCAACGCCGUAAACCCAAGGUUUCUGAUACUGUCGAGCCAAGAAAAGUUUCUAAGUUUAGUUAUAGUUGCCCGUACCGUAAACCGACACAGGUGGGUGGGAUGAGUAUUCUAAGGCGCGUGGAAGAACUCUCUUCAAGGAACUCUGCAAAAUAGCACCGUAUCUUCGGUAUAAGGUGUGCCUAACUUUGUGAAGGAUUUACUCCGUAAGCAUUGAAGGUUACAACAAAGAGUCCCUCCCGACUGUUUACCAAAAACACAGCACUCUGCUAACUCGUAAGAGGAUGUAUAGGGUGUGACGCCUGCCCGGUGCUCGAAGGUUAAUUGAUGACGUUAGCUCUGCGAAGCGUUUGAUCGAAGCCCGAGUAAACGGCGGCCGUAACUAUAACGGUCCUAAGGUAGCGAAAUUCCUUGUCGAUUAAAUAUCGACCUGCAUGAAUGGCGUAACGAGAUGGGAGCUGUCUCGAAGAGGGAUCCAGUGAAAUUGUAGUGGAGGUGAAAAUUCCUCCUACCCGCGGCAAGACGGAAAGACCCCGUGGACCUUUACUACAGCUUGACACUGCUAUUGGGAUAAAAAUGUGCAGGAUAGGCGGGAGGCUUUGAUCCAUAGACGCCAGUUUAUGGUGAGCCAUUGUUGAGAUACCGCUCUUUUUUAUUCUGAUAGCUAACUAGCUUGAGUUAUCCUCAAGUAGGACAAUGUCUGGUGGGUAGUUUGACUGGGGCGGUCGCCUCCCAAAAUGUAACGGAGGCUUACAAAGGUUGGCUCAGAACGGUUGGAAAUCGUUCGUAGAGUAUAAAGGCAUAAGCCAGCUUAACUGCGAGACAUACACGUCAAGCAGAGACGAAAGUCGGUCUUAGUGAUCCGGUGGUUCUGUGUGGAAGGGCCAUCGCUCAAAGGAUAAAAGGUACCCCGGGGAUAACAGGCUGAUCUCCCCCAAGAGCUCACAUCGACGGGGAGGUUUGGCACCUCGAUGUCGGCUCAUCGCAUCCUGGGGCUGGAGCAGGUCCCAAGGGUAUGGCUGUUCGAGCUACCCUGGGGAUAACAGGCUUAUCUCCCCCAAGAGUUCACAUCGACGGGGAGGUUUGGCACCUCGAUGUCGGCUCAUCGCAUCCUGGGGCUGAAGUAGGUCCCAAGGGUUGGGCUGUUCGCCCAUUAAAGCGGUACGCGAGCUGGGUUCAGAACGUCGUGAGACAGUUCGGUCCCUAUCCAUCGCAGGCGGAGGAAAUUUGAAGGGAGCUGACCCUAGUACGAGAGGACCGGGUUGGACAUACCGCUGGUGAACCAGUUGUCUUGCCAAAGGCAUAGCUGGGUAGCUAAGUAUGGAAAAGAUAAACGCUGAAAGCAUCUAAGCGUGAAGCGAACCUUAAGAUGAGAUUUCCCUGCUUAGGCAAUAAGACAGCAGAGAGAAUAACUGCUUGA